GAUGAACGCUGGCGGCGUGCCUAAUACAUGCAAGUCGAGCGAACAGAUGAGGAGCUUGCUCCUCUGACGUUAGCGGCGGACGGGUGAGUAACACGUGGAUCACCUACCUAUAAGACUGGGAUAACUUCGGGAAACCGGAGCUAAUACCGGAUAAUAUAUUGAACCGCAUGGUUCAAUAGUGAAAGACGGUUUUGCUGUCACUUAUAGAUGGAUCCGCGCCGCAUUAGCUAGUUGGUAAGGUAACGGCUUACCAAGGCAACGAUGCGUAGCCGACCUGAGAGGGUGAUCGGCCACACUGGAACUGAGACACGGUCCAGACUCCUACGGGAGGCAGCAGUAGGGAAUCUUCCGCAAUGGGCGAAAGCCUGACGGAGCAACGCCGCGUGAGUGAUGAAGGUCUUCGGAUCGUAAAACUCUGUUAUUAGGGAAGAACAAAUGUGUAAGUAACUAUGCACGUCUUGACGGUACCUAAUCAGAAAGCCACGGCUAACUACGUG
rnacentral:rRNA from 1 species